rnacentral:rRNA from 1 species
AACGAACGCUGGCGGCAGGCUUAACACAUGCAAGUCGAGCGCAUCCUUCGGGGUGAGCGGCGGACGGGUGAGUAACGCGUGGGAACGUGCCCUCUUCUACGGAAUAGCCUCGGGAAACUGAGAGUAAUGCCGUAUACGCCCGCAAGGGGAAAGAUUUAUCGGAGGAGGAUCGGCCCGCGUUGGAUUAGGUAGUUGGUGGGGUAACGGCCUACCAAGCCGACGAUCCAUAGCUGGUUUGAGAGGAUGAUCAGCCACACUGGGACUGAGACACGGCCCAGACUCCUACGGGAGGCAGCAGUGGGGAAUCUUGGACAAUGGAGGCAACCCUGAACCAGCCAUGCCGCGUGAUCGAUGAAGGCCUUAGGGUUGUAAAGAUCUUUCAGCUGGGAAGAUAAUGACGGUACCAGCAGAAGAAGCCCCGGCUAACUCCGUG